rnacentral:rRNA from 1 species
GAUGAACGCUAGCGACAGGCCUAACACAUGCAAGUCGAGGGGCAUCGGGGUGUAGCAAUACGCUGCCGGCGACCGGCGGAUGGGUGAGUAACGCGUAUGCAACCUGCCUUCAGCAGGGGGAUAGCCCGUUGAAAGACGGAUUAAUACCCCGUAACACAGGGGCUCCGCAUGGAGAUUAUUGUUAAAGGGAUGCUUCCUUCGGGGAGUAUUCCGGCUGAAGAUGGGCAUGCGUUCCAUUAGGUAGUUGGUUGAGGUAACGGCUCACCAAGCCUGCGAUGGAUAGGGGAACUGAGAGGUUGGUCCCCCACACUGGUACUGAGACACGGACCAGACUCCUACGGGAGGCAGCAGUGAGGAAUAUUGGUCAAUGGCCGUAAGGCUGAACCAGCCAAGUAGCGUGCAGGAUGACGGCCCUAUGGGUUGUAAACUGCUUUUAAACGGGGAUAAAGUGAGCCACGUGUGGUUUAUUGCAGGUACCGUUUGAAUAAGGACCGGCUAAUUCCGUGCC